rnacentral:tRNA from 1 species
CAGAGAAUAGUUUAGCUUAGGAUUCUGGCUUUGGGAGCCAGGGGUGGGGGUUAAAAUCCCCCUUUUCUGA